rnacentral:lncRNA from 1 species
CAUAUUUGAAUCAUGUAAUAACAUAUGAUGAAGUUCAAAGAGGUUUGGAACCUUUGUUGUCUCCGUUUCUCUAGGGAAUAGCAAUUUUAUAGUGGUUAGUCCAAUGAUUUACAGAGCAUUUGCAGUUUUCCUAAAUUAAUGGAUAAAAAAUUAGAACGAUGUCCAUGUACCAUGAAAAGAAGUUUAUCAUACAUUAAUACAAAGGUUUAAUGUGGUUUUAAAUUUUAAAACAAAUUUAAAGAUUAUAGGCUUCAUAUAUUGAGCAUUUACCGAAAACUCACUAUUUUCGUAGGGGGGUACACAUAGAUUUUGAGAAAAAUUCAAAAAAUUGAAAAUACUGUUUUAAUACAUAUUUGAAUCAUGUAAUAAUAUAUGAUGGAGUUCAAAGAGGUUUGGAACCUUUGUUGUCUCCGUUUCUCUAGGGAAUAGCAAUUUUAUAGUGGUUAGUCUAAUGAUUUAGGGAGUAUUUGCAGUUUUGCUAAAUUAAUGGAUAAAAAAUUAGAACGAUGUCCAUGUACCAUGAAAAGAAGUUUAUCAUACAUUAAUACAAAGUUAUAAUGUGGUUUUAAAUUUUAAAACAAAUUUAGAGAUUAUAGGCUUCAUAUAAAGAGCAUUUACCGAAAACUCACUAUUUUCGUAGGGGUUAACCCAUAGAUUUUGAAAAAAAUCAAAAAAAUUGAAAAUACUGUUUUAAUACAUAUUUGAAUCAAGUAAAAAAAUAUGAUGAAGUUCAAAGAGGUUUGGAACCUUUGUUGUCUCCGUUUCUCUAGGGAAUAGCAAUUUUAUAGUGGUUAGUCUAAUGAUUUAGGGAGUAUUUGCAGUUUUGCUAAAUUAAUGGAUAAAAAAUUAGAACGAUGUCCAUGUACCAUGAAAAGAAGUUUAUCAUACAUAAAUACAAAGUUAUAAUGUGGUUUUAAAUUUUAAAACAAAUUUAGAGAUUAUAGGCUUCAUAUAUAGAGCAUUUACCGAAAACUCACUAUUUUCGUAGGGGGGUACACAUAGAUUUUGAGAAAAAUUCAAAAAUUUUGAAAAUACUGUUUUAAUACAUAUUUGAAUCAUGUAAUAAUAUAUGAUGAAGUUCAAAGAGGUUUGGAACCUUUGUUGUCUCCGUUUCUCUAGGGAAUAGCAAUUUUAUAGUGGUUAGUCCAAUGAUUUAGGGAGUAUUUGCAGUAAAUUAAUGGAUAAAAAAUUAGAACGAUGUCCAUGUACCAUGAAAAGAAGUUUAUCAUACAUUAAUACAAAGGUAUAAUGUGGUUUUAAAUUUUAAAACAAAUUUAAAGAUUAUAGGCUUCAUAUAUAGAGCAUUUACCGAAAACUCACUAUUUUCGUAGGGGUUAACACAUAGAUUUUGAAAAAAAUUCAAAAAAUUGAAAAUACUGUUUUAAUACAUAUUUGAAUCAUGUAAUAAAAUAUGAUGAAGUUCAAAGAGGUUUGGAACCUUUGUUGUCUCCGUUUCUCUAGGAAUAACAAUUUUAUAGUGGUUAGUCUAAUGAUUUAGGGAGUAUUUACAGGUUUGCUAAAUUAAUGGAUAAAAAAUUAGAACGAUGUCCAUGUACCAUGAAACGAAGUUUAUCAUACAUUAAUACAAAGGUAUAAUGUGGUUUUAAAUUUUAAAACAAAUUUAAAGAUUAUAGGCUUCAUAUAUAGAGCAUUUACCGAAAACUCACUAUUUUCGUAGGGGGGUACACAUAGAUUUUGAGAAAAUUCAAAAAAUUUGACAAUACUGUUUUAAUACAUAUUUGAAUCAUGUAAUAAAAUAUGAUGAAGUUCAAAGAGGUUUGGAACCUUUGUUGUCUCCGUUUCUCUAGGGAAUAGCAAUUUUAUAGUGGUUAGUCUAAUGAUUUAGGGAGUAUUUGCAGUUUUGCUAAAUUAAUGGAUAAAAAAUUAGAACGAUGUCCAUGUACCAUGAAAAGAAGUUUAUCAUACAUUAAUACAAAGGUAUAAUGUGGUUUUAAAUUUUAAAACAAAUUUAAAGAUUAUAGGCUUCAUAUAUAGAGCAUUUACCGAAAACUCACUAUUUUCGUAGGGGGGUACACAUAGAUUUUGAGAAAAAUUCAAAAAAUUUGAAAAUACUGUUUUAAUACAUAUUUGAAUCAUGUAAUAAUAUAUGAUGAAGUUCAAAGAGGUUUGGAACCUUUGUUGUCUCCGUUUCUCUAAGGAAUAGCAAUUUUAUAGUGGUUAGUCUAAUGAUUUAGGGAGUAUUUGCAGUUUUGCUAAAUUAAUGGAUAAAAAAUUAGAACGAUGUCCAUGUACCAUGAAAAUAAGUUUAUCAUACAUUAAUACAAAGGUAUAAUGUGGUUUUAAAUUUUAAAACAAAUUUAAAGAUUAUAGGCUUCAUAUAUAGAACAUUUACCGAAAACUCACUAUUUUCGUAGGGGGGUACACAUAGAUUUUGAGGAAAAUUUGAAAAUACUGUUUUAAUACAUAUUUGAAUCAUGUAAUAAUAUAUGAUGAAGUUCAAAGAGGUUUGGAACCUUUGUUGUCUCCGUUUCUCUAGGGAAUAGCAAUUUUAUAGUGGUUAGUCCAAUGAUUUAGGGAGUAUUUGCAGUAAAUUAAUGGAUAAAAAAUUAGAACGAUGUCCAUGUACCAUGAAAAGAAGUUUAUCAUACAUUAAUACAAAGGUAUAAUGUGGUUUUAAAUUUUAAAACAAAUUUAAAGAUUAUAGGCUUCAUAUAUAGAGCAUUUACCGAAAACUCACUAUUUUCGUAGGGGUUAACCCAUAGAUUUUGAAAAAAAUCAAAAAAUUUGAAAAUACUGUUUUAAUACAUAUUUGAAUCAUGUAAAAAAAUAUGAUGAAGUUCAAAGAGGUUUGGAACCUUUGUUGUCUCCGUUUCUCUAGGGAAUAGCAAUUUUAUAGUGGUUAGUCUAAUGAUUUAGGGAGUAUUUGCAGUUUUGCUAAAUUAAUGGAUAAAAAAUUAGAACGAUGUCCAUGUACCAUGAAAAGAAGUUUAUCAUACAUUAAUACAAAGUUAUAAUGUGGUUUUAAAUUUUAAAACAAAUUUAAAGAUUAUAGGCUUCAUAUAUAGAGCAUUUACCGAAAACUCACUAUUUUCGUAGGGGGGUACACAUAGAUUUUGAGAAAAAUUCAAAAAAUUUGAAAAUACUGUUUUAAUACAUAUUUGAAUCAUGUAAUAAUAUAUGAUGAAGUUCAAAGAGGUUUGGAACCUUUGUUGUCUCCGUUUCUCUAGGGAAUAGCAAUUUUAUAGUGGUUAGUCCAAUGAUUUAGGGAGUAUUUGCAGUAAAUUAAUGGAUAAAAAUUAGAACGAUGUCCAUGUACCAUGAAAAGAAGUUUAUCAUACAUUAAUACAAAGGUAUAAUGUGGUUUUAAAUUUUAAAACAAAUUUAAAGAUUAUAGGCUUCAUAUAUAGAGCAUUUACCGAAAACUCACUAUUUUCGUAGGGGUUACACAUAGAUUUUGAAAAAAAUCAAAAAAUUGAAAAUACUGUUUUAAUACAUAUUUGAAUCAUGUAAUAAAAUAUGAUGAAGUUCAAAGAGGUUUGGAACCUUUGUUGUCUCCGUUUCUCUAGGGAAUAGCAAUUUUAUAGUGGUUAGUCUAAUGAUUUAGGGAGUAUUUGCAGUUUUGCUAAAUUAAUGGAUAAAAAAUUAGAACGAUGUCCAUGUACCAUGAAAAGAAGUUUAUCAUACAUUAAUACAAAGGUAUAAUGUGGUUUUAAAUUUUAAAACAAAUUUAAAGAUUAUAGGCUUCAUAUAUAGAGCAUUUACCGAAAACUCACUAUUUUCGUAGGGGGGUACACAUAGAUUUUGAGAAAAAUUCAAAAAAUUUGAAAAUACUGUUUUAAUACAUAUUUGAAUCAUGUAAUAAUAUAUGAUGAAGUUCAAAGAGGUUUGGAACCUUUGUUGUCUCCGUUUCUCUAGGGAAUAGCAAUUUUAUAGUGGUUAGUCUAAUGAUUUAGGGAGUAUUUGCAGUUUUGCUAAAUUAAUGGAUAAAAAAUUAGAACGAUGUCCAUGUACCAUGAAAAGAAGUUUAUCAUACAUUAAUACAAAGUUAUAAUGUGGUUUUAAAUUUUAAAACAAAUUUAAAGAUUAUAGGCUUCAUAUAUAGAGCAUUUACCGAAAACUCACUAUUUUCGUAGGGGGGUACACAUAGAUUUUGAGAAAAAUUCAAAAAAUUUGAAAAUACUGUUUUAAUACAUAUUUGAAUCAUGUAAUAAUAUAUGAUGGAGUUCAAAGAGGUUUGGAACCUUUGUUGUCUCCGUUUCUCUAGGGAAUAGCAAUUUUAUAGUGGUUAGUCUAAUGAUUUAGGGAGUAUUUGCAGUUUUGCUAAAUUAAUGGAUAAAAAAUUAGAACGAUGUCCAUGUACCAUGAAAAGAAGUUUAUCAUACAUUAAUACAAAGGUAUAAUGUGGUUUUAAAUUUUAAAACAAAUUUAAAGAUUAUAGGCUUCAUAUAUAGAGCAUUUACCGAAAACUCACUAUUUUCGUAGGGGGUACACAUAGAUUUUGAGAAAAAUUUGAAAAAUUUGAAAAUACUGUUUUAAUACAUAUUUGAAUCAUGUAAUAAUAUAUGAUGAAGUUCAAAGAGGUUUGGAACCUUUGUUGUCUCCGUUUCUCUAGGGAAUAGCAAUUUUAUAGUGGUUAGUCCAAUGAUUUAGGGAGUAUUUGCAGUAAAUUAAUGGAUAAAAAAUUAGAACGAUGUCCAUGUACCAUGAAAAGAAGUUUAUCAUACAUUAAUACAAAGUAUAAUGUGGUUUUAAAUUUUAAAACAAAUUUAAAGAUUAUAGGCUUCAUAUAUAGAGCAUUUACCUAAAACUCACUAUUUUCGUAGGGGUUAACACAUAGAUUUUGAGAAAAAUUGAAAAAAUUGAAAAUACUGUUUUAAUACAUAUUUGAAUCAAGUAAAAAAAUAUGAUGAAGUUCAAAGAGGUUUGGAACCUUUGUUGUCUCCGUUUCUCUAGGGAAUAGCAAUUUUAUAGUGGUUAGUCUAAUGAUUUAGGGAGUAUUUGCAGUUUUCCUAAAUUAAUGGAUAAAAAAUUAGAACGAUGUCCAUGUACCAUGAAAAGAAGUUUAUCAUACAUUAAUACAAAGUUAUAAUGUGGUUUUAAAUUUUAAAACAAAUUUAAAGAUUAUAGGCUUCAUAUAUAGAGCAUUUACCGAAAACUCACUAUUUUCGUAGGGGGGUGGGUACACAUAGAUUUUGAGAAAAAUUCAAAAAUUUUGAAAAUACUGUUUUAAUACAUAUUUGAAUCAUGUAAUAAUAUAUGAUGAAGUUCAAAUAGAUUUGGAACCUUUGUUGUCUCCGUUUCUCUAGGGAAUAGCAAUUUUAUAGUGGUUAGUCCAAUGAUUUAGGGAGUAUUUGCAGUAACUUAAUGGAUAAAAAAUUAGAACGACGUCCAUGUACCAUGAAAAGAAGUUUAUCAUACAUUAAUACAUAGGUAUAAUGUGGUUUUAAAGAGGUUCAAAAUUUGAAAAUUUUGAAAAAAACUGUUUAAUACUAUAUUUGAAUCAUGUAAUAAUAUAUGAUGAAGUUCAAAUAGAUUUGGAACCUUUGUUGUCUCCGUUUCUCUAGGGAAUAGCAAUUUUAUAGUGGUUAGUCCAAUGAUUUAGGGAGUAUUUGCAGUAACUUAAUGGAUAAAAAAUUAGAACGACGUCCAUGUACCAUGAAAAGAAGUUUAUCAUACAUUAAUACAUAGGUAUAAUGUGGUUUUAAAGAGGUUCAAAAUUUGAAAAUUUUGAAAAAACUGUUUUAAUAUAUAUUUGAAUCAUGUAAUAAUAUAUGAUGAAGUUCAAAGAGAUUUGGAACCUUUGUUGUCUCCGUUUCUCUAGGGAAUAGCAAUUUUAUAGUGGUUAGUCCAAUGAUAUAGGGAGUAUUUGCAGUAAAUUAAUGGAUAAAAAAUUAGAACGAUGUCCAUGUACCAUGAAAAGAAGUUUAUCAUACAUUAAUACAAAGGUAUAAUGUGGUUUUAAAUUUUAAAACAAAUUUAGAGAUUAUAGGCUUCAUAUAAAGAGCAUUUACCGAAAACUCACUAUUUUCGUAGGGGUUAACCCAUAGAUUUUGAAAAAAAUCAAAAAUUUUGAAAAUACUGUUUUAAUACAUAUUUGAAUCAUGUAAUAAUAUAUGAUGAAGUUCAAAGAGGUUUGGAACCUUUGUUGUCUCCGUUUCUCUAGGGAAUAGCAAUUUUAUAGUGGUUAGUCUAAUGAUUUAGGGAGUAUUUGCAGUUUUCCUAAAUUAAUGGAUAAAAAAUUAGAACGAUGUCCAUGUACCAUGAAAAGAAGUUUAUCAUACAUUAAUACAAAGUUAUAAUGUGGUUUUAAAUUUUAAAACAAAUUUAGAGAUUAUAGGCUUCAUAUAUAGAGCAUUUACCGAAAACUCACUAUUUUCGUAGGGGGGUACACAUAGAUUUUGAGAAAAGUUUGAAAAUUUGAAAAUACUGUUUUAAUACAUAUUUGAAUCAUGUAAUAAUAUAUGAUGGAGUUCAAAGAGGUUUGGAACCUUUGUUGUCUCCGUGUCUCUAGGGAAUAGCAAUUUUAUAGUGGUUAGUCUAAUGAUUUAGGGAGUAUUUGCAGUAAAUUAAUGGAUAAAAAAUUAGAACGAUGUCCAUGUACCAUGAAAAGAAGUUUAUCAUACAUUAAUACAAAGUUAUAAUGUGGUUUUAAAUUUUAAAACAAAUUUAGAGAUUAUAGGCUUCAAAUAUAGAGCAUUUACCGAAAACUCACUAUUUU